CGCGGUAAUACGUAGGGUGCAAGCGUUAAUCGGAAUUACUGGGCGUAAAGCGUGCGCAGGCGGUUUUGUAAGUCUGUCGUGAAAGCCCCGGGCUCAACCUGGGAAUUGCGAUGGAGACUGCAAGGCUUGAAUCUGGCAGAGGGGGGUAGAAUUCCACGUGUAGCAGUGAAAUGCGUAGAGAUGUGGAGGAACACCGAUGGCGAAGGCAGCCCCCUGGGUCAAGAUUGACGCUCAUGCACGAAAGCGUGGGGAGCAAACAGGAUUAGAUACCCUGGUAGUCCACGCCCUAAACGAUGUCUACUAGUUGUCGGGUUUUAAUUAACUUGGUAACGCAGCUAACGCGUGAAGUAGACCGCCUGGGGAGUACGGUCGCAAGAUUAAAACUCAAAGGAAUUGACGGGGACCCGCACAAGCGGUGGAUGAUGUGGAUUAAUUCGAUGCAACGCGAAAAACCUUACCUACCCUUGACAUGUCAGGAACCUCCGAGAGAUCGGGGGGUGCCCGAAAGGGAGCCUGAACACAGGUGCUGCAUGGCUGUCGUCAGCUCGUGUCGUGAGAUGUUGGGUUAAGUCCCGCAACGAGCGCAACCCUUGUCAUUAGUUGCUACAUUCAGUUGAGCACUCUAAUGAGACUGCCGGUGACAAACCGGAGGAAGGUGGGGAUGACGUCAAGUCCUCAUGGCCCUUAUGGGUAGGGCUUCACACGUCAUACAAUGGUACAUACAGAGGGCCGCCAACCCGCGAGGGGGAGCUAAUCCCAGAAAGUGUAUCGUAGUCCGGAUCGCAGUCUGCAACUCGACUGCGUGAAGUUGGAAUCGUUAGUAAUCGCGGAUCAGCAUGUCGCGGUGAAUACGUUCCCGGGUCUUGUACACACCGCCCGUCACACCAUGGGAGCGGGUUUUACCAGAAGU
rnacentral:rRNA from 1 species